CAAGAAAAUACUCAGAGAUUGAAAGCACAUUUCUCUUUGACUUUCAGUGGCAGAAUCAUCACUUAUGCCUGGAUGCAUCUGAAGAAGAUUUAUCUCUCGGAAGAUUGGUCAAUGACAACCACCAAAAUCCAAAUUGCGUUAUGAAAAAAAUCAUAGUUGACAACAAACCACAUUUGUGCCUUUUUUCUCUGAAGAAAAUAGAAAUAGGAGAUGAAAUUGAUUACAACUAUGGUGAUUCAAAAUGGCCUUGGCGCUGUAAGGUGA